rnacentral:rRNA from 1 species
GACGAACGCUGGCGGCGUGCUUAACACAUGCAAGUCGAGCGGAGCGGCGAACGGGUGAGUAACGCGUGAGUAACUGCCCCCCUCUCAGGGCUAACAGUUGGAAACGGCUGCUAAUACCGGUAAGUUGGGGAUGACUCGCGUCCAACCCGCUUGUUGGUGGGGUAGUGGCCUACCAAGGCGACGCCGGGUAGCCGGCCUGAGAGGGCGACCGGCCACAUUGGGCUGGGGUACGGCCCGAAGUCCUACGGGAGGCAGCGGUGGGGAAUAGUGCACAAUAGGGGAAACCAUGAUGCAGCAACGCCGCGUGCGGGAGGACGGCCUUCGGGUUGUAAACCGCUUUCAGCCAUGACGCGGUAGUGGCAGAAGAAGCACCGGCUAACUACGUGCCAGCAGCCGCGGUAAUUC